rnacentral:rRNA from 1 species
GAUGAACGCUGGCGGCGUGCCUAAUACAUGCAAGUCGAGCGAACAGAUGAGGAGCUUGCUCCUCUGACGUUAGCGGCGGACGGGUGAGUAACACGUGGAUAACCUACCUAUAAGACUGGGAUAACUUCGGGAAACCGGAGCUAAUACCGGAUAAUAUAUUGAACCGCAUGGUUCAAUAGUGAAAGACGGUUUUGCUGUCCCUUAUAGAUGGAUCCGCGCCGCAUUAGCUAGUUGGUAAGGUAACGGCCUACCAAGGCAACGAUGCGUAGCCGACCUGAGAGGGUGAUCGGCCACACUGGAACUGAGACACGGUCCAGACUCCUACGGGAGGCAGCAGUAGGGAAUCUUCCGCAAUGGGCGAAAGCCUGACGGAGCAACGCCGCGUGAGUGAUGAAGGUCUUCGGAUCGUAAAACUCUGUUAUUAGGGAAGAACAAAUGUGUAAGUAACUAUGCACGUCUUGACGGUACCUAAUCAGAAAGCCACGGCUAACUACGUG